AGGUGAUUUAUACUCAUAGGGUGGUGGGGGUGAUGGUGAAGGAGGUGGGGGAGACUUAUAUUCAUAAGAUGGAGACUUGUGCUCAUAGGGUGGAGGUGGUGGAGAUUUGUAAAUGUAAGAUGGUGGAGGUGACGGUGAGGGAGGCGGUGGUGACUUGUAAAUGUAAGGUGGUGGUGGUGAUGGUGAUGGUGGUGGGGGUGACUUGUACUGGUAAGAUGGAGCCUUGUGCUCAUAUGGUGGUGGAGGUGACGGUGAUGGAGGUGGUGGUGACUUGUAAAUGUAAGGUGGUGGAGGUGAUGGUGAUGGAGGUGGGGGUGACUUGUACUGGUAAGAUGGUGCCUUGUGCUCAUAUGGAGGCGGUGGUGACGGUGAUGGAGGCGGUGGUGACUUGUACACAUAAGGUGGUGGAG
rnacentral:lncRNA from 1 species